UACCAGCACCCCGAGUGGUCGGGACGUUUAUUGGGCCUAAAGCAUCCGUAGCCGGUUCUACAAGUCUUCCGUUAAAUCCACCUGCUUAACAGAUGGGCUGCGGAGGAUACUACAAGGCUAGGAGGCGGAAGAGGCAAGCGGUACUCAGUGGGGUAGGGGUAAAAUCCUCUGAUCCAUUGAAGACCACCAGUGGCGAAGGCGGCUUGCCAAUACGCGCUCGACGGUGAGGGAUGAAAGCUGGGGGAGCAAACCGGAUU
rnacentral:rRNA from 1 species